GGUGGACUAAGUGGUUAGAGUGUCUGCCUUGGGUGCGGGAAGUCGCGGGUUUGAAACCCGGCAGAGUCA